rnacentral:rRNA from 1 species
UGAAUCAUCGAAUCUCUGAACGCACAUUGCGCCCUCUAGUAUUCCGGAGGGCAUGCCUGUUUGAGCGUCGUU